AGCAUGGCCAGGGGCGGGGCUUCCCUGAGGCGCGCCGAGAGGCGGUGGCCCACUUCCGGCAAUAAUCGCCUGGUCGCCGUCAGGUGCCGGCCCAGGUGGCAGGCGCGCCCGUUGGGCACUGGGGGACGCGGGCGCGUCAGGUGAAGACUGGGGGCUGCAGGCGCGCUAGGAGAACUAUGCCAUUUUUGGGUCAGGACUGGAGAUCUCCUGGAUGGAGUUGGAUUAAGACAGAAGAUGGCUGGAAGAAUUGUGAAUCUUGUAGUCAGAAACUUGAAAGAGAGAAUAACCAUUGUAACAUCAGUCACAGCAUUAUCUUAAAUAGCGAAGAUGGAGAAAUACUCAAUAAUGAAGAGCAUGAAUAUGCAUCCAAAAAAAGAAAAAGGACCAUUUUAGAAAUGACACAAAUACUCAAAGUUUUUAUCAUGAAAAAUGGAUCUAUGUCCAUAAAGAAAGCACAAAAGAAAGGCAUGGCUAUUGCACCUUGGGAGAAACCUUUAAUCGGUUAGACUUCUCAAGUGCAAUUCAAGAUACCCGAAGGUUCAAUUAUGUGGUCAAACUGCAGGACAAAUUCGAGCAUCUUAAAAUGAUUCAACAGGAGGAGAUAAGGAAGCUCGAGGAAGAGAAAAAACAACUGGAAGGAGAAAUCAUAGAUUUUUAUAAAAUGAAAGCUGCCUCUGAAGCACUGCAGACUCAGCUGAGCACUGAUACAAAGAAAGACAAACAUCUAACAAUUUGGACAAGACAGCAAAUGCUAUUGUCGAAGUUUUCUAAAGAAGAAUCUGAAGUGAAAUGACAUCAAGAGACCUAUCAAGACCUGUAUCCAGGAAAAGAGUCUUGCUCUUGUUGCCCAGGCUGGAGUGCAAUGGCGUGAUUUUGGCUCACUGUAAACUCCACCUCCUGGGUUCAAGUGAUUCUCCUGCCUCAGCCUCCCUAGUAGCUGGUAUUACAGGUGCCUGCCACCACACCCAGCUAAUUUUUGUAUUCUUAGUAGAGAUGGGGGUUUCACCAUGUUGGCCAGCCUGGUCCCGAACUCCUGACCUUAGGUGAUCCACCAGCAUCGGCCUCCCAAAGUGCUGGGAUUACAGGUGUGAGCCACUGCGUCCAGCCAGUGGUGGGUCUCAUAUCUCAAUGUGGACUUUUACUAACUCCCGAUGCCUCAGUUUCCUCAUCAGUUGAAAGGAAUGAAUGAAAGAUUUGUGUUUUUCAUAUUACCAGGUAGAUGAUAAGGAGAUUUU
rnacentral:lncRNA from 1 species